UAAAGAUUACACAAGCGGUUUCCAAGAAAUACUGCUUUCUUCAGGUGAAGAAGCAAGUAAAUCACCGCUUCGUUGAGAAGCAGAAGACUUGCGAGGAGGAGGAGUGGGAGGAACAUUAACGGGUGUCAAGUUGGGUGCCGGUACACCAGAAGAGGAAGAACCAGACCGAGGUGGAAGCAAUGGUUUUACCCUUGGAGCAACCAAAUGAUCUGGUUUAGUUGGCUUGUUGGGUUUAAUGGGAAUAAUUGAGGUUGAGCUGCGUUGAGAACUAACACUGCUUCUGGCCAACGAAGAAGGUGCCGGGCUUAAUGCGGGGAUACUGUCUAUUAAUGACGAUUUCUUAUCAAAUGAUUGUUUUGUGUUGGAUAUCCAGUCGGGCUCUGCGGUAGGCUCAAAGGGAUUGAUAGGACGCGACGGAUUUAACCUAUAUUCUGGGCCUGGAGGAGCAGCUAUUGACUUCGCAGGGAGACCAUCAUCAAACCACCACUUACUACGUUCACUACUUGGUUGCUUAAUUUUGUCAACUCCAUUGGCAGGAAGAUGGGGAAUUAAAUUAGGUUUACCCGCAACAGACCCAGCAAUAUCAAUCAGAGUAUAAGAAGUCUGACUAGCAUCUCUAACUUCCUGCUUUCUCUGAUUAUAAAGCUCUUCAAACAGUAUUUUUUUCUUCUCUCUAUCAACUUUAACAAUGUUUGCUUCAUAUGUGGCAUAAAUGGGUCUAUGAUCGGAGUAGUACAAAGGUACAGAUUGAUAACUAUGGGGAACUAAUUCUCCACGAUAUAAAAUACGAUCGGUCCAGGCAGGAACUCUAUGCUUAUCCGAGGUAUCAUAUAUGUCUGUUCCUAUGUCAAAUUUGUACGUAGGAGGAAAGGUAAUCGGUAACUCUGAAAAAAACGGAAAGACUUUUCCGGUAAGCAUCUGCUUAUUUAAUUGAUCGUAUUCAAAAAGGUAACUUAACUUCCCUUGCGCGAUACAAGGUACGACUUCUUCAUAUGUCAAUGAAAUACGAUAAUUAAAGUCACCAAACCAUACCACAUAAUCGUGAUUGAAUAUGGAACGACCACGCCUAAAUCUUAAUCCACUAGCAAUAGUUCGAUAGUCAUGAUCUCUUUCAUCGUAAUUUGUGUAACCCGCUGCUAAAUGAGAAGUAAUAAAACAAAGACCGGUAUCUUCGUAAUCAAAUCGGAUGGCAACAGCACCUUUGUUUCCGGAAACUCCACCAAGACCAGUUUUCUUAACCGUUCCUUCCACGUUCUUGAUACUGGGCAAACAUGACUCCUUACAAAAUAUCAUUAGUGCUGUACCAACCAGUUGUCCAGAACGUAAUUGAACAUAUCCAGGUCCAGAUGUACAUUUACCGUUUAAUAAGCGUUUG